ACGCUCGACACCUACGGGAUGCAGCAGUGGGGAAUAUUGCACAAUGGGGGAAACCCUGAUGCAGCGACGCCGCGUGGAGGAAGAAGGUCUUCGGAUUGUAAACUCCUGUUGUUGGGGAAAAAGAGGAUGGUACCCAACAAGGAAGUGACGGCUAACUACGUGCCAACAGCCGCGGUAAUCUGAGCGGGCUGGCAAGGC
rnacentral:rRNA from 1 species